AUGCUUGCUUUGGCAGCACACAUACUAAAAUUGGAACGAUACAGAGGUUAGCACGGCCCCUGUGCAAGGAUGAUAUGUAAAUUCGUGAAGUGUUCCAUAAUAAA
rnacentral:snRNA from 1 species